rnacentral:rRNA from 1 species
GACGAACGCUGGCGGCGUGCUUAACACAUGCAAGUCGAACGGAAAGGCCCCUUUGGGGGUACUCGAGUGGCGAACGGGUGCGUAACACGUGAGUAACCUGCCCUUGACUUCGGGAUAACUUCAGGAAACUGGGGCUAAUACCGGAUAGGAAUCCUUGCUGCAUGGUGGGGGUUGGAAAGCUUCGGCGGUUUUGGAUGGACUCGCGGCUUAUCAGCUUGUUGGUGGGGUAGUGGCUUACCAAGGCUUUGGCGGGUAGCCGGCCUGAGAGGGCGACCGGCCACAUUGGGACUGGGAUACGGCCCAGACUCCUACGGGAGGCAGCAGUGGGGAAGAUUGCACAAUGGGCGGAAGCCUGAUGCAGCAACGCCGCGUGCGGGAGGACGGCCUUCGGGUUGUAAACCGCUUUCAGCAGGGGCGAAGCUUGUGGUGACGGUACCUGCAGAAGAAGCACCGGCUAACUACGUG